rnacentral:tRNA from 1 species
GGAGGGCUGUGGUUCAGUGGGAGAGCAUUUUCUUGGCAUUCAGAAGGUCUAGGGUUCAAUUCCUGGCAUCUCCA